rnacentral:rRNA from 1 species
GACGAACGCUGGCGGCGUGCUUAACACAUGCAAGUCGAACGAAGAGCGAUGGGAGCUUGCUUCUAUCAAUCUUAGUGGCGAACGGGUGAGUAACGCGUAAUCAACCUGCCCUUCAGAGGGGGACAACAGUUGGAAACGACUGCUAAUACCGCAUACGAUCUAAUCUCGGCAUCGAGGAUAGAUGAAAGGUGGCCUCUACAUGUAAGCUAUCACUGAAGGAGGGGAUUGCGUCUGAUUAGCUAGUUGGAGGGGUAACGGCCCACCAAGGCGAUGAUCAGUAGCCGGUCUGAGAGGAUGAACGGCCACAUUGGGACUGAGACACGGCCCAGACUCCUACGGGAGGCAGCAGUGGGGAAUCUUCCGCAAUGGACGAAAGUCUGACGGAGCAACGCCGCGUGAGUGAUGACGGCCUUCGCGUUGUAAAGCUCUGUUAAUCGGGACGAAAGGCCUUCUUGCGAACAGUUAGAAGGAUUGACGGUACCGGAAUAGAAAGCCACGGCUAACUACGUG